rnacentral:rRNA from 1 species
GGUCAGCAUACUGCCGUGAAUACGUUCCCGGGCCUUGUACACACCGCCCGUCACACCAUGAGAGUUGGGGAUACCCAAAGCCCGUGAGCCAACUGUAAAGAGGCAGCGGUCUAAGGUAGAAUCAAUGAUUGGGGUGAAGUCGUAACAAGGUAGC